AGCAUAUCAAUAAGCGGAGGAAAAGAAACCAACAGGGAUUGCCCUAGUAACGGCGAGUGAAGCGGCAACAGCUCAAAUUUGAAAUCUGGCUCUUUUAGAGUCCGAGUUGUAAUUUGCAGAGGGCGCUUUGGCGUUGGCAGCGGUCCAAGUUCUUUGGAACAGGACGUCACAGAGGGUGAGAAUCCCGUACGUGGUCGCUAUCCUUCGCCGUGUAAAGCCCCUUCGACGAGUCGAGUUGUUUGGGAAUGCAGCUCUAAAUGGGAGGUAAAUUUCUUCUAAAGCUAAAUACUGGCCAGAGACCGAUAGCGCACAAGUAGAGUGAUCGAAAGAUGAAAAGCACUUUGGAAAGAGAGUCAAAUAGCACGUGAAAUUGUUGAAAGGGAAGCGCUUGCAGCCAGACUUGCCUGUAGUUGCUUAUCCGGACUUUUGUCCGGUGCACUCUUCUAUAGGCAGGCCAGCAUCAGUUUAGGCGGUUAGAUAAAGGUCUCUGUCACGUACCUCUCUUCGGGGAGGCCUUAUAGGGGAGACGACAUGUAACCAGCUUAGACUGAGGUCCGCGCAUUUUGCUAGGAUGCUGGCGUAAUGGCUGUAAGCGGCCCGUCUUGAAACACGGACCAAGGAGUCUAACAUCUAUGCGAGUGUUUGGGUGUCAAGCCCAGACGCGUAAUGAAAGUGAACGGAGGUAGGAACCCUUUGGGUGCACUAUCGACCGAUCCUGAUGUCUUCGGAAGGAUUUGAGUAAGAGCAUGGCUGUUGGGACCCGAAAGAUGGUGAACUAUGCUUGAAUAGGGUGAAGCCAGAGGAAACUCUGGUGGAGGCUCGCAGCGGUUCUGACGUGCAAAUCGAUCGUCAAAUUUGGGCAUAGGGGCGAAAGACUAAU
rnacentral:rRNA from 1 species